UACGGGGGGGGGCAAGCGUUGUUCGGAAUUACUGGGCGUAAAGGGCUCGUAGGCGGCCAACUAAGUCGGAUGUGAAAUCCCCAAGCUUAACUUGGGAACUGCAUCCGAUACUGGAUGGCUUGAAUCCGGGAGAGGGAUGCAGAAUUCCAGGUGUAGCGGUGAAAUGCGUAGAUAUCGUAAGGAAGACCAGUGGCGAAGGCGGGGUCUCUGGACAGUUCCUGACGCUGAGGCACGAAGGUCAGGGGAGCAAACGGGG
rnacentral:rRNA from 1 species